rnacentral:rRNA from 1 species
AGCGAACGCUGGCGGCAUGCCUAACACAUGCAAGUCGCACGGGGGGGCUUCGGCCUCCCAGUGGCGGACGGGUGAGGAACGCGUAGGGACCUGUCGAGGGGUGGGGGAUAACCGCGGGAAACUGCGGCUAAUACCGCAUGACGCCGCGGCGUGACAGCCGGGGCCAAAGGCGAAAGCCGCCCGCCGAGGGGCCUGCGUCCGAUUAGCUGGUUGGCGGGGUAGCGGCCCACCAAGGCGUCGAUCGGUAGCUGGUCUGAGAGGGUGAUCAGCCACACCGGGACUGGGACGCGGCCCGGACUCCUACGGAAGGGGGCAGUGGGGAAUAUAGGAACAUGGGCGCAAGCAUGAUCCAGCAAUGCCGGGUGGGUGAAGAAGGUCUUCGGAUUGUAAAGCCCUUUCGGCGGGGACGAUGGUGACGGUACCCGAAGAAGAAGCCCCGGCUAACUUCGUG